AGAUUCCUACGGGAGGCAGCAGUGGGGAAUAUUGCACAAUGGGCGAAAGCCUGAUGCAGCAACGCCGCGUGAGCGAUGAAGGCCUUCGGGUCGUAAAGCUCUGUCCUAUGGGAAGAUAAUGACGGUACCAUAGGAGGAAGCCCCGGCUAACUACGUGCCAGCAGCCGCGGUAAUACGUAGGGGGCAAGCGUUGUCCGGAAUUACUGGGCGUAAAGGGUGCGUAGGCGGUUUAUCAAGUCAGGGGUGAAAGGCUACGGCUCAACCGUAGUGAGCCUCUGAAACUGGUGAACUUGAGUGUAGGAGAGGAAAGUGGAAUUCCCAGUGCAGCGGUGAAAUGCGUAGAUAUUGGGAGGAACACCAGUGGCGAAGGCGACUUUCUGGACUACAACUGACGCUGAGGCACGAAAGCGUGGGGAGCAAACAGGAUUAGAUACCCUGGUAGUCCACGCUGUAAACGAUGAGUACUAGGUGUCGGCUGUCAAAGGUCGGUGCCGGCGUUAACACAUUAAGUACUCCGCCUGGGGAGUACGCUCGCAAGAGUGAAACUCAAAGGAAUUGACGGA
rnacentral:rRNA from 1 species